UACAGAGGGUGCAAGCGUUAUUCGGAUUUACUGGGCGUAAAGCGCAUGUAGGCGGUUUGGUAAGUCUGGUGUGAAAUCCCCCGGCUCAAUCGGGGAAGUGCAUCGGAUACUGCCAGACUAGAGUACUGGAGGGGAGAACGGAAUUCCUGGUGUAGAGGUGAAAUUCGUAGAUAUCAGGAGGAACAACGGUGGCGAAGGCGGUUCUCUGGACAGUCACUGACGCUGAGGUGCGAAAGCGUGGGGAG
rnacentral:rRNA from 1 species